UUAUAAGAGACAGCAGUCGCCGCGGUAAUACAGAGGGUGCGAGCGUUAAUCGGAUUUACUGGGCGUAAAGCGUGCGUAGGCGGCUUCUUAAGUCGGAUGUGAAAUCCCUGAGCUUAACUUAGGAAUUGCAUUCGAUACUGGGAAGCUAGAGUAUGGGAGAGGAUGGUAGAAUUCCAGGUGUAGCGGUGAAAUGCGUAGAGAUCUGGAGGAAUACCGAUGGCGAAGGCAGCCAUCUGGCCUAAUACUGACGCUGAGGUACGAAAGCAUGGGGAGCAAACAGGAUUAGAUACCCGGGUAGUCCCUGUCUCUUAUAC
rnacentral:rRNA from 1 species